rnacentral:rRNA from 1 species
CAAUGCCGCGUGAGUGAAGAAGGCCUUCGGGUUGUAAAGCUCUUUUGUCAGGGAAGAAAAGGUUUCCGCUAAUAUCCGGGCCUCAUGACGGUACCUGAAGAAUAAGCACCGGCUAACUACGUGCCAGCAGCCGCGGUAAUACGUAGGGUGCAAGCGUUAAUCGGAAUUACUGGGCGUAAAGCGUGCGCAGGCGGUUUUGUAAGACUGUCGUGAAAUCCCCGGGCUCAACCUGGGAAUGGCGAUGGUGACUGCAAGGCUAGAGUUUGGCAGAGGGGGGUAGAAUUCCACGUGUAGCAGUGAAAUGCGUAGAUAUGUGGAGGAACACCGAUGGCGAAGGCAGCCCCCUGGGUCAAAACUGACGCUCAUGCACGAAAGCGUGGGGAGCAAACAGGAUUAGAUACCCUGGUAGUCCACGCCCUAAACGAUGUCUACUAGUUGUCGGGUCUUAAUUGACUUGGUAACGCAGCUAACGCGUGAAGUAGACCGCCUGGGGAGUACGGUCGCAAGAUUAAAACUCAAAGGAAUUGACGGGGACCCGCACAAGCGGUGGAUGAUGUGGAUUAAUUCGAUGCAACGCGAAAAACCUUACCUACCCUUGACAUGGCAGGAAUCCUGGAGAGAUC